CCUACGUGAGGCAGCAGUGAGGAAUAUUGGUCAAUGGGCUUACGCCUGAACCAGCCAAGUCGCGUGAGGGAAGACUGCCCUAUGGGUUGUCAACCUCUUUUGUCAGGGAGCAACGCCGGCUACGUGUAGCCGGACUGAGAGUACCUUAAGAAAAAGCAUCGGCUAACUCCGUGCCAGCAGCCGCGGUAAUACGGAGGAUGCGAGCGUUAUUCUGAUUUAUUGGGUUUAAAGGGUACGUAGGCGGAAUGCCAAGUCAGCGGUAAAAUCGCGGGGCUCAAUCUCGCUCCGACGUUGAAACUGGCGGUCUUGAGUGGGCGAGAAGUAUGCGGAAUGCGUGGUGUAGCGGUGAAAUGCAUAGAUAUCACGCAGAACUCCGAUUGCGAAGGCAGCAUACCGGCGCCCAACUGACGCUGAAGCACGAAAGCGUGGGUAUCGAACAGGAUUAGAUACCCUUGUAGUC
rnacentral:rRNA from 1 species